UGUGGCCUCUCCUGUUGCAGAGCACAGGCUCCGGACGUGCAGGCUCAGCGGCCAUGGCUCAUGGGCCCAGCUGCUCCGCGGCAUGUGGGAUCUUCCCGGACCGGGGCACAAACCCGUGUCCCCUGGAUCAGCAGGCGGACUCUCAACCACUGCACCACCAGGGAAGCCCUGUGGGUUAUUAUUUUAAAAAACUUUUUUGGAUUUACUUUUCUGGAUAACUUAAGCCAUAAAGAGUACUUGUUACAGGCAAUGCUGUACAUGUAGAAUACUUUAUAGUUUGCAAAAUAUUUGUCCUUUUAUGAGAUGCAUUUAAAAAUACACUUGAAGAAAUCAAGGGACAGCUUGAUAAUAUAUCUUAAUUUCAGCAAGGCAGAGUUAUUUAUUGUAAUCGUGAUAGCAAGAUUUCAUAUAGGCAAUAGUACACUUGAGUGGACUUUAAUUUUGAACUUCUGUUUUGAUGUGUUUAAUAGUUAUUUGUCAACAUGUCAAGUUCCAUAAAGCUCUGUCCUGUCCAGUUUAAAUUGUGUGUGUGUGUGUGUGCGCGCGCACGCACGUGCAUGCAUGCGCAUGUGAUCAGUUUACGGGGGACACAAAGUAUGGAGGGAAGCUAAAAGAGAAUUACAAUUCAGAAAGAUUUUGGGCUGAAACAUAAGUAAAACCAACAAGAAACAGUUUAGGUGGGAGAAUUGUAAAUCUAGUUAGGAUUUUUAGAAAUUGCAUUUGCAAGUCCAAAAUAUGGACAGGAAUCCGUCUUGGCAUUUUUUCAAGUGAGAGCCAAUGUGUUAGUUUAUUGCAGGCUUUUUAUGGGUCAAGCAUGAUUUCUUUGCCUUAGAAGGUGGGAAUGCAACCUUGGUUUAGAACACAUUAAUUACACAAAGCCAUCUUCAUUCAUUGAUUGCCAGUUCUCAUUUGCAACUGGUGUUUGAUUUUGGGUGUCUUUGUUGUUUUUAAGUGAAACAUUGCUUAGCUAGGUUCCAUUCAAAGGAGGAGGAGGUCGAGGAUGGUGAAUAGACGGUAGCCCGUGUUAGCAGCUUUCCAGGCAUCUCCCUUGCAGUGUUUUGCUGUCCUAGGGGGCAGAUCUGAAGCCAUGAGUGGAGAUGACCUCAUUGUAAGAAGAAUCAUUACAAUGCCUGGAUCUAUCCAGUAGCGGAAUGGCUUACCUAGUGGAACGAGCAUCUGUUCCCCAAAGUUCUUAGCAAAGGUGUUGGUGAUCAUGUCUGGGACAGUGCAUCCGGAUUUCCUAGUAUUUGGCAGGAGGCAAAGUAGAUAGGCUCCGAGAUCUCUUCUUACUCCUCAAUCCUGUGAUAUCAAGUAAUUCACAGUGCUGGGGGCGCUUGGAUUGUUCUGUAUUUCAGUCAAGUUUUAUCAAAAGGAAAAUAGAAAAAGUAGUGGGAAGAACUGCUCUUAUUAUUGUAACAUAUAAACUGCUUGAUCUUUAUUUGUCCUCAUCUUUCUCAGUUGCUUAUAAAUUUUAAAUGGGAAUAUUGAGUGAGGAUCGGAGACAGGACGCCUUCAUCACAUUUGGAUUUGAGAUGUGCAUCUGACAGCAGGGUGUAUUUACGCCUGCUGCCUGGAAUGUGGAUGUGAUAUCUGGCAUCCUAGCUGCCCUUUCAGACCUGAGGAUAAGGGUAACACCGUAAGGAUGGUGGAGCUGUGAGCCGGAAGAAGCCUUUGUCCCUGAAGACUUCACGAGCAAAUCUACUAUAGCAGCCCCUGGCUACCUACUUCUGUGCUUAUACACAAGAGAGAGAGAAACGACUAUCUUAUCUUCCUCGUCGCAGAAAAAGGAUGACUCUACUCUAUGUCGUGGAAUUAAAUGAGAUGAUACAAAUGAAAUGCCUUACCCAGUACCUGGCACAUAAUUAUCAAAUGGGAUUGUUACAAAAACCCAGUGAGAAAGGCUACAGAAAUAUUACUCUGCCUCUUUUAAAGAUGGAGAAGCUGACAGCCAAAGAGUCUCAGUGGCUCGUUCAAGGUCACCGAGGCAAUACACGUGAUGACAUCCCACUGAAAAGGCAACGCCCACUAUGUGGUCUCCUAAAGGCAGAUGGAAGCUGCAGCUCAGAGGGGGCACCUUGUGUGUGCCCAUCACUCUGCAGCCGUCUUUUGGCUGCAUCAUUUAACAAUGUGCGUUUCCCCAAAUUAUAAUUUUGUCCUUCGUUUGCAACAGAGAAUAUCAGAGCCACUUCCGCCCGGUAAGCCUGCGAGCAGGGGAGUGGUGAGUGCCCACGGUCAGGUUGGCGGCACCCCACUCACUGCUGUUUAGGCUUCCUCAGUACAGACCACUCCUCCGGCCUCUCCUGGCAGAGAGCAGUGCGUUCACUCCCUCAGCUUCACUAGUGCUUUCUCUGUGGCCAGGGAAGAAAGCAGAGCUUGCCCCCAGGCUUCACUUACUGGAGGUGCACGCUUUACAAAGAGAAGCCCAUCUCUGAAAGCACAGCAUGCAUUAGCAUCCUCUCCUUCGGAGAGAGCUAUUUUUGUCUUUCGUCUUCAGAGACUGUUCCAAAGUAGGGGAUGCAAGAAUCAGGAGGAGAACCAAAAAAACCCAAGGUCUCCAGCUCAGAAGAGAGCAAAUCACUGUCAUAUCCUCAAACAAUUGCCGCAGCAGUGACGGAGAACAAACUGUGCUGGAGUCGAGCUGCCCUUGGGUACAGGACAACAUCCAGAAAGAGACAGAUCUCUUUCUGUGGGAUUUCUCUCCGUACACUUCGCCACUUCGCGGAACAAGGAUCAGAUUUGACUGAGAUUAAGAAAGAAGAGAAGGGGAUUCCCUGGUGGCACAGUGGUUGAGAAUCCGCCUGCCAACGCAGGGGACACGGAUUCGAGCCCUGGUCCGGGAAGAUCCCACAUGCUGCGGAGCAGCUAAGCCCAUGCGCCACAACUACUGAGCCUGCGCUCUAGAGCCUGUGAGCCACAACUACUGAAGCCCGCACGCCUGGAGCACGCGCUCUGCAACAAGAGAAGCCACCGCAAUGAGAAGCCCACGCACUGCAACGCUCACCGCAACUAGAGAAAGCCUGCGCGCAGCAACAAAGACCCAACACAGCCAAAAAUAAAUAAAUAAAUUUAUAAAACAAAAAAAAAAAGAAAGAAGAAAAAGAAGAGAAGAGAACAACAAAGGCUUAAGCAAGAGAGAAGUUUAUUUCUCUCUCAUGCAAAUGGAGUCUGGUGGUGGGGCGCCCAGAACUGGUGAAGUGUCCUUUCUGGUUCUUCCACAUCCUCAACAUGUGGCUUCCACUCCGUUGUCCAAGGCUGUUGCUCACGGUCAAGCCGUCCUGUUCACAUUCGAGGCAGCAGGAAGGAGAAAGAAGGGAAGAACUGCAUGUUCCUCCCAUUGAGGACACUUCCUGGAAAUUGCACCUUACACUUCUGACAAUUCAUUGGCUAGAAUUUAGUCAUGUGACCACAUCUAGCUGCAAAGCGUCCUGGGAAAUUGUAGGAUGUCAUGCGCCCAUUAGGAAAUGCUACACUAAGGAAGCAGGGAAGGAUGGACACGGGAUGCCACUAGCAGUUUCUACCAUAGUAAUAUGUUAGUAGUAGAAUAGCACAUAUGUAUACUUACAAAGAAAUAAAUGUACUAGUUGGGUGCGUAAUCAAGAUUGGGGCUUUUGGGGUGAAGUUUAAAGACCACUGCUGUGGAUUAUAGUACUCUAGAAGUGCAUAUAAUUAAUGAAAAGAAGGAAUAGAGGUUUUUUCUUUUCUCAACCAAGUAAAUUUGAAGCUCAAUUGCCUUCAUUCAACGACUCAUGAAUCAGGCAGCAUCCAGUUUAGCAACUAGAAAGGCAUCCCGAGGGAUUUUUUUUUUUUUCUUUUUAACCGUCUGGCAUACAUUCAUCCUUCUCCUGGUAAAACAGUAUGGAGAGUUUUAUGUAGGGACUCAUCCUUCCCCCACUCUAAGCGAUGCCGUUGUGAGGGAGCCCUAAUUAGUCUUAGCUAAUCAACUCCUCUCAUCCACUUGACCACUGGGAUUAGUGUAGGUUACCGAUUCAACUCUUAGAAAGGAGACACCGGACAGAACGUUAAGAGCACAUGAAGUUGGAAGCUGCCCAAAUCCUCCUGCAACCAUGAUGGGAGAGCUUAUGUGAGACUGCAGCCAAUGUCCAGAGGAGAAGGAAGCCACGCUGAGGGAGGAUGGGGUCCUGGUGAUACCAUUUAAGGUCCUGUAUCAAGCUGCACCUGAACACAGCAUGCAUCGUGAUAAGGAGCCAUUUUGGACCAGGUAGAUGAGGUCAAAGCCCUAGACCUGGCAGAGCAUCUAGGUGGAAAGAGCCUGAGACGGAAUGACUUCCUAGAACAGAGCCUGGCUGAAUGUGUACAUGAAAGAGAAGACAACUCACUUUCCAUCUUGGAUAAGUGACUGUCUUUUUAAGUCUUUGUUUUAGCAGCCAGCCUACAGCCUAACUAGUACACAUGUGUUAUUUCAUUUCGUUUAUUUUUAACAAUCUCAUUUAAUUACCCAAGGUGGCAGAGCAAGGGGGCGCAGAGCAAGGAUCUGAACCCAAGACUGCCUGACUCAGGAUCCCACACUGUCACUCACCACUUCAGCACUCUGCUCAUGCGUCCCCGGGGCUAAGUCUCUUUCCUACAUGCUGAGUGGAGUCACGGCACUUUACACUGUGCCCUCGUUGCAUCUUUGCACUUAAGUGCUUUGGGGCCAGAGGCUGUACUCUUCCCCCUUGCACUGCCCGGGUCUGGAUGGGGCUUGGCCCUCUAUAAAUGUUGACCAAAUAAAUGAAUAAUAAAUGGUCUUGCUGAGCUUCAGAAUAUCUAGCAGGCUAUUGGAGGAUCAAAUGAGAUCAUGUUUGAGAAGAUGUUUUGAAAACUACAAGCCAAUAUAUACACUUGGGUUAUAGUCAGCUCUCUCGUUAGGAAAUUCUCUAUAUUUAGGGCAGGAAUAUGGCUGUUUGCAUGCUGUACUGUCUUUUGGUACUUUCCUCUGAGAAACAGUGCUCCCUGUCAUGUCACUCUUGGGGUUGGAGGACACCGAGAGGCCACUCAGACCUACCUCCUGGUGCCCUCCCACCCCUACCCCUAGCAGGAUUCCCCUCCGUGACAUUUCCACUGAAAGGUCAGUUGGUCAGUAGCCCUUCUAACAACUGGGCACUGUGAUCAAAAUGUGACUCAGCAGUGCAGGACAGGAGACAGGCUCCAUGCUGUCCCCAGAUGUACCAUGAGUUCUCCUCCACAGUUCAGAGUCCUCUUUCAAGGUCAGGUUCAAAGUCACCUUCUCUGCAGAAGUCUUCCGAGUCCAGCAGGGGCACCGAGGUCCCUUUCUUUCCUGCUGUGUCAUUUUGUACUUUAUUCUAAACCAUAUCGCAUCAUACUUUUAUUUGUGCUUUUUUAUAAACCCCACUUAAUCACUCCUCCAAGCUACUACCUCCACCCCUCAUAGGUGAGAUUUUUCAAGGACAGAGACUCUAUCUUACUCUUUUGAUUCUUAUCACCUACCUCAGUGCCUGGCACUUGUUGAUAAACUUAAUAAAUGCUUGUUGAAAGGAUGAGUGAGUAAAUGCAUGAGCAGAGGGGCUAAAGCUUUGUCUCUGUCAUUAGACAAACUCAUGUCCAAAUCCCAUUGAUUGACUAUACUCAUUCAUUUAUGCAUGUACUCAUUCAUUCAGUCAAAUUUUUAUUGAGUACCUAAUAUAUUGAGUACCUAUAUACUGCUAGACACUAGUAUUGGACAAUCAGGAGGACAGAGUCCCUACCCUCACAAGUUUAUAUCUGAAUAGUAGAGACAAAAUAAAGAAGCACAUCAGUAAGUAAACAAGCUAUCUACAGAUUCUAAUAUAUCCUGUGAAUGAAAUGAACAGGGGGCGUGUGACGGAGGAUGUGAGGUUGGCAGUGGGCAACCGUAGAUGAUGGACAGGGGGCAGGGAAAGCCUCACUGGGAACCUUUGAGCUGAGUCCUGAAGAAUGAGUCUUAAAGAACAGGAGGAAAAACAGGGGAUAGCCACAACCAGAAAAAAAUUGCUUCUUUCUCUAAGGCUUCGUUUCCUCAUCUGUAAAUUGAAAUAAUCAUAGCACCCACUUCAUGAUUUUUUGUGAAGCUUAAAUGCAUUGAAACACUUAGCAUAGUGCAGGGGACCUAGAAAGCACUCAAUACAUCUUAGCUCUUAUUAUGGGGUAAUGCUAUCGAAAGGAAAUGAGGGUGCAGUCCAGUGGUCCUCUGUAAUUGCCACUUCCUUUCCAAGUUCUAAGCCAUCUGUUAAACAACACAAUUAAGAAUGUGCCUGGGAGGGAAUUCCUGGUGUUCUAGCGGUUAGGACUCCACGUUUCCACUGCAGGGGGCGCGGGUUCGAUCCCUGGUUGGGAAACUAAGAUCCCACAAGCUGCGCAGUGUGGCCAAAAAAGAAGAAAGAAAAGAAUGUGCCUGGGGCACCAACCUUAAUCUCUCUGACCUACGAUCUCUAGAAUCUCUUUAAAAUGAGUGUAAAUACCUUAUAAGGUUGGUAGAGGGAACAAAUCAAAUAAUGUAUGUAGAAGCCCUG